rnacentral:lncRNA from 1 species
CAAAAGGAUUUUAGUUUUUCGUUGUUAACUGAGAUUCCAUCCACAGAUGUUCCAUUCACAGUGGAGAGCUCCGUGCACACACCACACACACCACACACACACCACACACACACACACACACACACACCACACACCACACACACAUCACACACACACACACCACACACACCACACACACACCACACACACCACACACACACCACACCACACACACACACCACACACACACCACACCACACACACACACCACACCACACACACACACCACACACACACAACACCACACACACACACCACACACACACCACACACACACACCACACACACACACACACACCACACACCACACACGCACAUACCACACACACACACACACACACCACACACACCACACAUGCACACACCACACACACACACCACACCACACACAUACCACACACACACAGCACACACACACACACACACCACACACGCACACCACACACACCAUACACGCACACCACACACCACACACACACCACACCACACACCACACACACACCACACCACACACACACACACACCACACACACCAUACACACAUCACACACACACCACACACACACACACCACACACACCACACACGCACACAACACACACACACACCACACACACACAACACCACACACACACACCACACACACACCACACACACACACACCACACACCACACAUGCACACACCACACACACACACACACACCACACACACCACACACGCACACACCACACACACACACCACACACACACAACACCACACACACCACACACACACCACACACACACACCACACACACACACCACACACACCACACACGCACACACCACACACACACACCACACACCACACACCACACACACACCACACCACACACACACACACACACCACACACACCACACACACACACACCACACACACACACACCACACACACACCACACCACACACACACACCACACACACACAACACCACACACACACACCACACACACACCACACACACACACACACCACACACCACACACGCACACACCACACACGCACACACACACACCACACACACACACACCACACACACACACCACACACACACCACACACACACACACACCACACACGCACACACACACACACACACACACCACACACACCCCCCACGCCAACCCAGCGGGUCCCCACCUGUGAACAGACGCCGCGCCGGCCCGGCCCCCGGGAGCUUGUGGGG